rnacentral:rRNA from 13 species
CAAAACAACCAGGAGGUUGGCUUAGAAGCAGCCAUCCUUUAAAGAAAGCGUAACAGCUCACUGGUCUAAACAAGUUGUCCUGCGGCGAAGAUGUAACGGGGCUCAAGCCAUGAGCCGAAGCUUAGGAUGCCGUAAGGCAUGGUAGCAGAGCGUAGUGUGACAUAAGACUACGUCUUUAUUGAUCUUUUGUAGUACCAAGGUUUGUUGUUUGGGUGUUCGCACUCAAGUAGCCGAAGGCGGUAGUGCAUAUAAAGAGAUCAUAAAAGACAAAGUCUUUUCUGUGAAGCGGGCCUGUGAGGGAUCCCGUGGAGAGAUCACUAGUGAGAAUGAUGACAUGAGUAGCGACAAAGAGUGUGAGAGACACUCUCGCCGAAAAUCCAAGGGUUCCUGCUUAAAGCUAAUCUGAGCAGGGUAAGCCGACCCCUAAGGCGAGGCCGAAAGGCGUAGUCGAUGGGAACCAGGUUAAUAUUCCUGGGCCAGGAGGAUGUGACGGAUUGUGGCGGCGUGCGUGCCUUAUCGGAUUGGCGCGUAUCCAAGACAGUCCCUGGAAAUAGCCCUCCAUUAGAUCGUACCCUAAACCGACACAGGUGGACUGGUAGAGAAUACCAAGGCGCUUGAGAGAACGAUGUUGAAGGAACUCGGCAAAAUACCUCCGUAAGUUCGCGAGAAGGAGGCCCGGCGUAAGAGCGUCGGGGGCACAAACCAGGGGGUGGCGACUGUUUAUUAAAAACACAGGGCUCUGCGAAGUCGCAAGACGACGUAUAGGGUCUGACGCCUGCCCGGUGCCUGAAGGUUAAAAGGAGGGGUGCAAGCUCUGAAUUGAAGCCCAGGUAAACGGCGGCCGUAACUAUAACGGUCCUAAGGUAGCGAAAUUCCUUGUCGGGUAA